rnacentral:rRNA from 1 species
GAACUGAAGAGUUUGAUCAUGGCUCAGAUUGAACGCUGGCGGCAGGCCUAACACAUGCAAGUCGAGCGAAUGAAGGGAGCUUGCUCCUGGAUUCAGCGGCGGACGGGUGAGUAAUGCCUAGGAAUCUGCCUGGUAGUGGGGGAUAACGUCCGGAAACGGGCGCUAAUACCGCAUACGUCCUGAGGGAGAAAGUGGGGGAUCUUCGGACCUCACGCUAUCAGAUGAGCCUAGGUCGGAUUAGCUAGUUGGUGGGGUAAAGGCCUACCAAGGCGACGAUCCGUAACUGGUCUGAGAGGAUGAUCAGUCACACUGGAACUGAGACACGGUCCAGACUCCUACGGGA